GUUCUGCCGUCAGACAAUUAGCUUGAUGGCCGCAGUAUCGUCCGUGUUUGACGAAAUCGAGCCCACUGAUAUCGCAAAAUCAUCUGGUGAUGAAGAAACAUCGUUGACUGCUUAUAGGAUUUCGGAGGACGAUCUCAUCUUAGUCUUAUGGAGUUGCUGGAAGGUGUUGAUCAUCAAUUCAAAAACCUUUGGUGGCUUCUUAAGAGAUCUAUGAUGGAUUUUUUGAAAAUUCACACUCCUUAUCCCCCAUGAACUUGUUCACAACGCGAAGAUUCUUGCCAAAUAUAUAUAAACCAAGAAUAAAACUAUCAUGUUCAAUCGCGCUCCAAAUUCUUCACUUGAUGAACAAGGAACUGAAACCAAUCCAUUGUUUGUUUCACAACCUACAUUACAAAACUCACCCUUUCUCCCCAUUUCCUACCAAACCCUUCACCUUUCUCACGGAUUCUCCCCCAAAUCGGUUCAUUCUCAUCAAUUUCACCAAAUUCUCCUCUAAAUCGAUAAAUCCACCCACCCACCACGUCUUCGAUCAAGACGAAGUCACUUCGAGUUGAAAUGAAGCCACAGAUCAAGACGACGGACAUGAAGACAAUGGUGGUGAUGAUAACAUGAUGUAGUUUUACACGUUUUAUGCAAUGUUAUGAUGUUAAUAUGUGAAUUAAAUGAAUAACUUUUAAGUAGUUUUAGGAUGUUUAUAUAAUUAUUAUGCUUAUGUAGUUUGUUGUGAGUGGCGAAGAAAAACUGGAAAUUGGCAGGCUUUGUGUAUCGUUGAAAACCGGAAAUUAUUGUAAAUGCAAAAAA